rnacentral:piRNA from 1 species
CGUCCAUGAUGUUCCGCAACUACCUAC